UACGUAGGGACCAAGCGUUGUUCGGAAUUACUGGGCGUAAAGGGCUCGUAGGCGGCCAACUAAGUCAUACGUGAAAUCCCUCAGCUUAACUGGGGAACUGCGUGUGAUACUGGAUGGCUUGGAUUUGGGAGAGGGAUGCGGAGUUCCAGGUGUAGCGGUGAAAUGCGUAGAUAUCUGGAGGAACACCGGUGGCGAAGGCGGCAUCCUGGACCAAUAUUGACGCUGAGGAGCGAAAGCUAGGGGAGCAAACGGG
rnacentral:rRNA from 1 species